AUUGAACGCUGGCGGCAGGCUUAACACAUGCAAGUCGAGCGGGGGAAGGUAGCUUGCUACUGGACCUAGCGGCGGACGGGUGAGUAAUGCUUAGGAAUCUGCCUAUUAGUGGGGGACAACAUCUCGAAAGGGAUGCUAAUACCGCAUACGUCCUACGGGAGAAAGCAGGGGAUCUUCGGACCUUGCGCUAAUAGAUGAGCCUAAGUCGGAUUAGCUAGUUGGUGGGGUAAAGGCCUACCAAGGCGACGAUCUGUAGCGGGUCUGAGAGGAUGAUCCGCCACACUGGGACUGAGACACGGCCCAGACUCCUACGGGAGGCAGCAGUGGGGAAUAUUGGACAAUGGGGGGAACCCUGAUCCAGCCAUGCCGCGUGUGUGAAGAAGGCCUUAUGGUUGUAAAGCACUUUAAGCGAGGAGGAGGCUACUUUAGUUAAUACCUAGAGAUAGUGGACGUUACUCGCAGAAUAAGCACCGGCUAACUCUGUGCCAGCAGCCGCGGUAAUACAGAGGGUGCGAGCGUUAAUCGGAUUUACUGGGCGUAAAGCGUGCGUAGGCGGCUUAUUAAGUCGGAUGUGAAAUCCCCGAGCUUAACUUGGGAAUUGCAUUCGAUACUGGUGAGCUAGAGUAUGGGAGAGGAUGGUAGAAUUCCAGGUGUAGCGGUGAAAUGCGUAGAGAUCUGGAGGAAUACCGAUGGCGAAGGCAGCCAUCUGGCCUAAUACUGACGCUGAGGUACGAAAGCAUGGGGAGCAAACAGGAUUAGAUACC
rnacentral:rRNA from 1 species